rnacentral:rRNA from 1 species
GGGUCUACCCAUUGGUCAGGCUUAAUUGUCUGUACUGGUGAGAUGGAUCUCUACCUUCUGAGGAACUCUCAUGCCAUUUAUUUGGUGUGGUUGGAAAUCAGGACUGUUACUUUGAAAAAAUUAGAGUGUUUAAAGCAGACUAUCGUCUGAAUACAUUAAUGGAAUAAUGAAAUAGGAUGGACUGAUUCUAUUUCGUUGGUUUCUAGGAUCACCGUA